rnacentral:rRNA from 1 species
GAUGAACGCUGGCGGCGCGCCUAAUACAUGCAAGUCGAGCGAACAGACGAGGAGCUUGCUCCUCUGACGUUAGCGGCGGACGGGUGAGUAACACGUGGAUAACCUACCUAUAAGACUGGGAUAACUUCGGGAAACCGGAGCUAAUACCGGAUAAUAUAUUGAACCGCAUGGUUCAAUAGUGAAAGACGGUUUUGCUGUCACUUAUAGAUGGAUCCGCGCCGCAUUAGCUAGUUGGUAAGGUAACGGCUUACCAAGGCAACGAUGCGUAGCCGACCCGAGAGGGUGAUCGGCCACACUGGAACUGAGACACGGUCCAGACUCCUACGGGAGGCAGCAGUAGGGAAUCUUCCGCCAUGGGCGACAGCCUGACGGAGCAACGCCGCGUGAGUGAUGAAGCUCUUCGGAUCGUAAAACUCUGUUCUUAGGGAAGAAGAAAUGUGUAAGUAACUAUGCACGUCUUGACGGUACCUAAUCAGAAAGCCACGGCUAACUACGUG